CCCUUAGAUGUUCUGGGCUGUACGCGCGCUACACUGGUGCGUUCAGCGAGUUUAGCACCUUAACAGAUAUGUUUGGGUAAUCUUCUGAAAACGCACCGUGAUGGGGAUCGAUUAUUGUAAUUAUUAAUCGUCAACGAGGAAUUCCUAGUAAGUGUGAAUCAUCAGUUCGCGCUGAUUACGUCCCUGCCCUUUGUACACACCGCCCGUCGCUGCUACCGAUUGAGUGGUCCGGUGAAUUAUUCGGACCGGUGGACUGUGGGGUAACUCGCGGUCUGCUGGGAAGUCUUGUGAACCUUAUCACUUAGAGGAAGCAGAAGUCGUAACA
rnacentral:rRNA from 1 species